UUUCAAAGUGCCAGAAUGCAACAUUUACAGUAAUUCAAUUGAGAAAGAACUCAUUGAAAGAAGAAGAGCCGAGUGGUUGAAGUUGAAAAAAAGGAAUUAUAAUAUAUCCCAACUAUUUGUUUGCUCUGAUCAUUUUGUUUCAGGGAAACCUGCAUAUGUGUAAUGAAGAAAGUUGAAUUACUAUAAUUAUCUUGAUAACAUUCUGAAUGUAAACAACAAUAACAUUUUGGUUGUACGUACCCUGCAAUACAAUCACAAAAAGCAACAAUCACUUUGCCAUCAUUUUGUAAAGCAGCCCAAGGUCUUGCUUUUGGCAAGUUUAAAGACUGAGAAUGGGUAACAUGAGUACGAAUCAACACAACCAAAUUAGAAAGAGUAAGUGCCAAUAACUUGUCAGUGAAAGUGUUUGACAAGUAUUGUUCAGAGUCUAAGUUUUUGUAAGCUUCACGUCGUCCCUCUUCAUCUUUGUUUUUCUCAAAAACCAAAUACUGAACUAGGUGAUAUUUUUCAAUGGAAGGGAUAAUUGUUUUUAAAAUUUUUCCACACUUGAAAAGUGGAAGUGGUAUUGCCAAAGGAUCGUGACACUUUAGAUGUUCUAAUUGUUGGUAGUAAUAUUUCCGAUCUUCUUCUACCACGGACAAUGCAAAAGGGGACAAACGAUAUUUAAAAAUUUCUGUGGACAUGAAAAUUUCAUGGAAAUAAACACUUAAGAAAUCAAA